UCAUCGCCCACACCAGAGUUUUGACUUCAGCGUGGAGAGGAGAGAGACUUUGUUGGCGAUUUAUAGCUCCCGUCGUUGUUGGAGGAUCCUGAGCGUGUUGGCAGAACAAGCCUAAAACCUGCAUAUGUAUUUGUAUCCUUGCAUGAUACAUCUAUAAAGCAUCUAUAAUCUGCGAAUGUGGAAGGUAAAGAAUCUGCCUGCCCCUG
rnacentral:lncRNA from 1 species